GCGUACUUGGCGCAGUUGGGAGCGCGGUAGACUGAAGCGUAUGUGGACCCCCAAUGGUCACCUGUUCAAUCCAGGUAGUUGGCA